rnacentral:lncRNA from 11 species
UCAGUUUAUAAGGCUAUUCUAAUUUAGUGCUUUUGCCUAUGUUUCAGGAAGGAGAGCAGGUCUGUUUUUCAAUCCCUAGCACUGAUAAUGAAGAAAAUGCCAAGACCACUGACAGGGUUUUGUAUAGAGUUACUGCUCCGAGCUCAAAUUCUGGGCAAUUUCAAAUGGGUUCGCGUUGCCCUGCUGAACUGCAGGAGAAAAUGUCAGCCAGAAGAGGCAAGAAAAUCAUUGAGUAUUUCUGGUUUCCAGUUGAUGGCGAUAAUGAAGACUGACUGGAGAAGAAAUACAGUAGUUGUACAUAUGUGAAAAAGAUAAUGUAAGGUAUUUUAUUCACUGAGAAUAGUGACCCUAAACGUUGCAUAUUUAUCUCCAAGGCAUAUGGCUUCGUGUUGGUGAAGCAGUCAAAUCUUCCAUAAUUAGCACACAUAACUGCAUAUAUAUAUAUAUAUAUAUAUAUAUAUAUAUAUAUAUAGACAGACAGACAGAUAGAUAGAUAUAGAUAUUCUUUGAGAAAUAAAGGCCUAAAUAAACACUGCUAUUUUAGUCAUAUGUCUCCCACUCUCUAUCUGAAC